rnacentral:rRNA from 1 species
CAGCUUGGCAGGCUCUUCCGUCACGGGCGGCGGCGGCGGCGGGGGAGUUAGGGGGCCGGGGCGGGGGGUUGAGGGAGGCGGAGAGUGCGCGCAGCGGCCGGUGGCGCGGGGACGACAGAGGUGGGGCACGCGUUAGAGAGAGGUGACCCAAAACUCCCCUUGUACCGCUCCGACCACAGCAGAAGGGAGCAGUCCCCCGAGCACGCCAGCACGGCGCGCGGGUCGUGCCGCUGACACAGUGCUGGUUGAAAGGUUGUCAAGUACUGGAUGAGUAGUCCUUAGUCACCACUAAGAUUGCGCUUACCCCCGUGUUCACGUUGUGCUCAUUGACGACUAUGACUAUGUGUAGUUCUAAAGGUCGGAUGUUCGUUUCCAAGACUAUACAGAAACGUUCUGUAACAACGAGUCCUAUAGUUUCUCUUAGGUCAGUAAUAGAAGUACUUCCCAAUAGGACUUCGAGGGUCCACACCUAAGUCACGUGACCGUCAAUUCCAGGAGGUCGUUAUACCGCAGAGAUAGUGACGGUCUCUAUAAGACUCAUUAUACUUCGAGUUCCUCUCACAGUUUCGAGUGAGAUUGACCGGAUGGAAAGGUGUUUAUAAAUAGUUGCCUCUCAAGCAACCCCCGAGACUGUAGUAUAAUUCGUACGUGGUCUUUCCACUUGAAUUCCUAAAUGAACCACUAAGGCGUGUUUUCCCGCUCGUUCUGUCACGGGUCACUUUGUUCGAUGUCAUACAAUCGUAAACGUACCUCCACCUACGAAGGAGAGACUCAUGAGAAAAUGAGCUGCGAGAAGGACACCACAAGACAACAAUACUGCGUCCUAAAAGUAGUAGCACAACGGUCGGUACUACCUUUAGAGAGCCAAGGUUCUCGUAGGUUCAAAAGCAAAGUACUGUUUAUUUACGGUGAAAAAGUUAUGACAAAAAACAUGCAACAUUAUCAGUCCACUAAAGCAAACCUAAGAUAUAUAAAACCCGGGGCAAACGCAACGUCAUUAUUUACCAAUCCGACAAUGCAUCAAUAAAUACGACGAAAAGAUAAGAUACUUCAAUUAAAACAAACACAUUAGUAGGCUAAGGU